rnacentral:rRNA from 1 species
AACGAACGCUGGCGGCAUGCCUAACACAUGCAAGUCGAACGAACCCUUCGGGGUUAGUGGCGCACGGGUGCGUAACGCGUGGGAAUCUGCCCUUUGCUUCGGAAUAACAGUUAGAAAUGACUGCUAAUACCGGAUGAUGUCUUCGGACCAAAGAUUUAUCGGCAAAGGAUGAGCCCGCGUAGGAUUAGGUAGUUGGUGGGGUAAAGGCCUACCAAGCCGACGAUCCUUAGCUGGUCUGAGAGGAUGAUCAGCCACACUGGGACUGAGACACGGCUCAGACUCCUACGGGAGGCAGCAGUGGGGAAUAUUGGACAAUGGGCGAAAGCCUGAUCCAGCAAUGCCGCGUGAGUGAUGAAGGCCUUAGGGUUGUAAAGCUCUUUUACCAGGGAUGAUAAUGACAGUACCUGGAGAAUAAGCUCCGGCUAACUCCGUGCCAGCAGCCGCGGUAAAGUCUGUACU